GACCCAAAAACAAACAAAGAAACAAACAAAAAUGUUAGAAACACUUUCAGUCUGCAUUUCAGGCUUUGCAUUUAGAAUGCUGCGCAGUUACGUCAUUGCGCGCGCCCAAAUUCAAACGUAAUCAAAAGACCGCCAAAUUACGCGCAUUCAGGAUCGAGACCAACGGAUGAAAAUGUUUGCGCAAAGUUGGAGCAUUGUUCCAACAUAACACAUAAAAAACUUAGAUAAAAUAAUGAUGAUUUCUUGGACGGACAAGAUGACAGAUCUGUAUAUUUAACCGAGUGGAGAGGUGGACUGAAGAAAAAACCUCCAGGCAGAUGGCAUUUGUACGAGGCAAUGGCGCAUAAAGUUGCAGAGACAGUCCACCCUAGAAAAACCAACGAGGACUCAACAUCAGUCCAGUCCAAAACAUCUGAGCAAAAGAAAAUGCAGGCCAAGCUUUUUAAGAAUAAGGAAGUUGUUCUUGCGGAAGUGGAUAUUUAACUUCAUAUCUUGUUAAGUAUAAUUAUUAUUAUUUAUUAAUAAUAGUAGUAAUAGUAUUGAAAAUAUGUGAUGCAAAGCUAAAUUGUAUCAGGCCCCUAAACACUUUUUGUUAAAGCAAUCUUCUAUUUAUUAAUAUAACUUUAAUAUUGAUUCAUGUUUGCCUUUCCUCACAGCUUGAAAUUCACCCAGGCUCAGGAAUUUGUGUUGUGGUCAUGCAAACAGCCUCACUGCUAUGGCAUGGAUGCUUCUUCUUGGAGUAUUUUGGCACUUUUGCUAAAGCGCAAUCUCAGAGGUGGCAAGUCUAAAAAAGCAAGCCCUGGGGAAACAAAGGAGGCCUUGGACAGAAAAAAAAAUUGAUGCAAUAAUGAGUAUGUAUAUAUUUUUUUAAUUGGGCUCAUUUUUUAAAACUGUUGAACCAAAUGUGACAGUAAAACCAUGAGAAUUUAUCAGUGUCAUCUUGGUGUAACAGUGUGAUGACACUUAGGCCUAAUCCAAUUUCUACCCCUACCCCUUCACGUUCACAUGAAGGGGUAGGGGUGUCUCGAUUCUCUUUUGGCUGGAGUGGUAGAGGUAAGGGAAAGGGCCAGAUAGCCCUUCAAACAAAGAUCUUUCGGGACCACACUUUGAACAAAGGGGUAUGAGAAAUUUCCCUGCAUACACAAACUACCGUUUCAUGGUAUUGAUAUUUCCACACAGUAUCGAUUACUUGUGUG